UGUGAUUCUGUGUUCAUAUAUGUGUCAGUGUAUAUCUGGUAUAAAUUUAUUCUGUGUGCUUAUUUGUUGCAGUGUAUAUCCGUAGUUGCACUGCAAGUUAGUGGGAAGAAGUCUCUCCCUCAUCGUAUGACCUCAUUGGAGUCGAUGAAUCUCUGACUUGCUUUCUUGCUUGACACUGUCACAACUUGGGAAUUGUCAUGGAGUGAAUCAAAGUUGAUAACAACUGUGAUGGUGGAAGCUGGAAUUUAAGAAACCAGAAUACUUGAUUGCCUAUAAACUAAAGAAACUAGCCAAGAAGAAUUUUAAAAAGAGCAAUAAGAAACAGCUGGUGUCAAUGAUGCGGAUGGCUGAAGUUUUAUUUGGAAAACAGCAGUUGGUACAAAAACUCUUCUGCUGCUUAUAGUUAAAAUAUCCCAUAAAGACACAUGCCAUGGAGAUGAUGGCAAGACUGAAAUUUUCCAAUAUGGUACUUAAACUCUAGCUUGGACUGGAACUCUGCAGAAGGGAGGAACACUGCAAGAGUCAUUCUUCUUGGAUUGGACCUGGCAAGUUGGGAUUUUUUUCUCAGUUAAAUGUACCCAUGAUUUAUCCAUUUGUAUGUGGACCUUCUUAUUUUUAAAUGAAUAAUAUCACUAUAUUUCAUUUUAAAUGAAAAAUUGAAGAAAAUGGAAAAUUAAAAUUGGAAAAUUAAAAAUUAAAAUGGGC
rnacentral:lncRNA from 1 species